UUUUUCCAACUGACAGAUGCUAGUUGUUUAGUUGUCUGAAAUCAGUUUUGACUUCAGCAGGGCCUCACGUGCAGCGGUUGCUGCAGCUGCUUCCUGAUACCUGGUUUCUCUAACCUAAACCCAGGGCCCGGUCUCGCUCCCGUUCAAGGUCCCGUGGCAGGAGGUAUUCUCGGUCGCGCAGCCGGAGUCGCGGUAGGAGGUCCCGAUCAGCUUCCUACCGCAGGUCUCGGUCCGUUUCUCCUCGUAGGUCUAGGUCUGUGUCUCCUCGCCGGUCCCGAUCGGCUUCCUUGAAGAGAUCAAGGUCUAGAUCAAGAUCGAGAUCUAGAUCCAGAUCUGUUACAUGGCCCCGAAGCAGAUCUAGGUCUCAUGGCAGAUCAAAAUCCGGCUCGCCAGCUAAGAGCCGGUCAAAGUCCCGAUCACCAUCUCCAAAGAGAAGUCGUUCACCUUCAGGAAGCCCUCAAAGAAGUGCAAGUCCUGAAAGAAUGGAUUAAAAGCUAUGAAGUUAAUCUUUUAGGAAGAAAGUUAUUUUGCUUACAUUAUUAUAAGGGAUUUUUGUGGUGUCUUUGUAAAUGUAAGAAUGUAGAUAGGAGAGUAUAUCAACCAAAAUUUGGCAUGAUCUGGGUCUUCUGAGUUAGUCGCACCAAUAGACUAGCACAGUUCUCUUUUUAUUGUAUGACUUAACUUCCUGUGAUAUGAAAAUGUGGGACUUUUUUAUUGGCACAUUGAAAUAAAAUGUGUAUUUUUAAC